GNANAANNNNGNGNGCUACAGNUGCAGUCGAGCGAUUCUCUUCGGAGAAGGCGGCGGACGGGUGAGUAACGCGUGGCUAACCUGCCCUGUACACGCGGAUAACAUACCGAAAGGUAUGCUAAUACGAGAUAAUAUACUUUUAUCGCAUGGUAGAAGUAUCAAAGCUUUUGCGGUACAGGAUGGACCCGCGUCUGAUUAGCUAGUUGGUAAGGUAACGGCUUACCAAGGCGACGAUCAGUAGCCGACCUGAGAGGGUGAUCGGCCACAUUGGAACUGAGACACGGUCCAAACUCCUACGGGAGGCAGCAGUGGGGAAUAUUGCACAAUGGGCGAAAGCCUGAUGCAGCAACGCCGCGUGAGCGAUGAAGGCCUUCGGGUCGUAAAGCUCUGUCCUCAAGGAAGAUAAUGACGGUACUUGAGGAGGAAGCCCCGGCUAACUACGUGCCAGCAGCCGCGGUAAUACGUAGGGGGCUAGCGUUAUCCGGAAUUACUGGGCGUAAAGGGUGCGUAGGUGGUUUCUUAAGUCAGAGGUGAAAGGCUACGGCUCAACCGUAGUAAGCCUUUGAAACUGGGAAACUUGAGUGCAGGAGAGGAGAGUGGAAUUCCUAGUGUAGCGGUGAAAUGCGUAGAUAUUAGGAGGAACACCAGUUGCGAAGGCGGCUCUCUGGACUGUAACUGACACUGAGGCACGAAAGCGUGGGGAGCAAAACAGGAUUAGAUACCCUGGUAGUCCACGCCGUAAAACGAUGAGUACUAGCUGUCGGAGGUUACCCCCUUUCGGUGGCGCAGCUAACGCAUUAAGUACUCCGCCUUGGCAAGUACGCUCGCAAGAUUGAAACUCAAAGGAAUUUGACGGGGGACCCGCCCCAAGUAGCGGACCAUGUGCU
rnacentral:rRNA from 1 species